rnacentral:rRNA from 1 species
GGGUGAGUAAUAUAUCGGAACAUAUCCGGAAGUGGGGGAUAACGUAGCGAAAGUUACGCUAAUACCGCAUAUGCCCUGAGGGGGAAAGGGGGGGAUCGCAAGACCUCUCGCUUUCGGAGUGGCCGAUACCGGAUUAGCUUGUUGGUGAGGUAAAGGCUCACCAAGGCGACGAUCCGUAGCUGGUCUGAGAGGACGACCAGCCACACUGGAACUGAGACACGGUCCAAACUCCUACGGGAGGCAGCAGUGGGGAAUUUUGGACAAUGGGCGAAAGCCUGAUCCAGCCAUACCGCGUGAGUGAAGAAGGCCUUCGGGUUGUAAAGCUCUUUCAGCCGGAAAGAAAUUGCACUUCUUAAUACGAAGUGUAGAUGACGGUCCCGGAAGAAGAAGCACCGGCUAACUACGUGCCAGCAGCCGCGGUAAUACGUAGGGUGCGAGCGUUAAUCGGAAUUACUGGGCGUAAAGCGUGCGCAGGCGGUUUUUUAAGUCAGAUGUGAAAUCCCCGGGCUCAACCUGGGAACUGCAUUUGAAACUGGAAGACUAGAGUAUAGCAAAGGGAGGUAGAAUUCCACGUGUAGCAGUGAAAUGCGUAGAUAUGUGGAGGAAUACCAAUGGCGAAGGCAGCCUCCUGGGUUAAUACUGACGCUCAUGCACGAAAGCGUGGGGAGCAAACAGGAUUAGAUACCCUGGUAGUCCACGCCCUAAACGAUGUCAACUAGUUGUUGGGGAAGGAGACUUUCUUAGUAACGUAGCUAACGCGUGAAGUUGACCGCCUGGGGAGUACGGUCGCAAGAUUAAAACUCAAAGGAAUUGACGGGG